UACAGAGGUCUCAAGCGUUGUUCGGAUUCAUUGGGCGUAAAGGGCGCGUAGGCGGCGAGGCAAGUCUGGUGUGAAAUCCCGGGGCUCAACCCCGGAACUGCACUGGAUACUGCUUUGCUAGAGUACUGGAGAGGGAACUGGAAUUUACGGUGUAGCAGUGAAAUGCGUAGAUAUCGUAAGGAAGACCGGUGGCGAAGGCUAGUCUCUGGACAGUUACUGACACUGAGGCACGAAGGCCAGGGGAGCAAACGGG
rnacentral:rRNA from 1 species